rnacentral:rRNA from 1 species
CGUAGGGUGCGAGCGUUAAUCGGAAUUACUGGGCGUAAAGGGUGCGUAGGCGGCUUUUUAAGUCGGAUGUGAAAACUCUGGGCUCAACCCAGAGACUGCAUCCGAAACUGGAGAGCUAGGGUUCUGGAGGGGAAAGCGGAAUUCCUGGUGUAGCAGUGAAAUGCGUAGAUAUCAGGAGGAACACCGGUGGCGAAGGCGGCUUUCUGGACAGAUACCGACGCUGAGGCACGAAAGCUAGGGGAGCAAACAGGAUUAGAUACCCUGGUAGUCCUAGCCCUAAACGAUGGAUACUUGCUGUGAGGGGGAUUGAAGCCCCUUGUGGCGAAGCUAACGCAUUAAGUAUCCCGCCUGGGGAGUACGGUCGCAAGGCUG